rnacentral:rRNA from 1 species
GACGAACGCUGGCGGCGUGCUUAACACAUGCAAGUCGAACGGUGAAGGGCCCGGUUUUUGCUGUUUCUGGGUGAGUGGCGAGCGGGUGAGUAACACGUGAGUAACCUGCCCCCUUCUUCUGGAUAACCGCAUGAAAGUGUGGCUAAUACGGGGUAUUCUGCGCCUGUUGCAUGGGGGGGGUGGGAAAGGUAGUGUUUCGGGGGGUGAUGGGCUCGCGGCCUAUCAGCUUGUUGGUGGGGUGAUGGCCUUGGAAGGGGGUGGCGGGUAGACGGCCUGAGCGGGUAGCCGGCCACAGUGGGAGUGAGACCCGGCUGAGACUCAGAUGCGGGCCAGACGUCGGCGGGAUGGAGCAGUGGGGGCAAGCCUGAUGCAGGGGGGACGCGUGUGCGACGGCGGCCUUCGGGGGGUAAACCUCUUUCGCCAGUGAAGCAGGCCCGUCUCUGUUGUGGGUGGGUUGACGGUAGCUGGAUAAGAAGCGCCGGCUAACUACGUG